AAUAUAAAAUUCUGAAUAAAAAUCGUGAAAUUGUAUCAUCUUCUUUUUAUUUUCAUUAAAAUUUAUUAUAAAUUUCCAAAUAA
rnacentral:tRNA from 1 species